UCGGGAAUCUUGCGCAAUGGGCGAAAGCCUGACGCAGCCAUGCCGCGUGUAUGAUGAAGGUCUUAGGAUUGUAAAAUACUUUCACCGGUGAAGAUAAUGACUGUAGCCGGAGAAGAAGCCCCGGCUAACUUCGUGCCAGCAGCCGCGGUAAUACGAAGGGGGCUAGCGUUGCUCGGAAUUACUGGGCGUAAAGGGAGCGUAGGCGGACAUUUAAGUCAGAGGUGAAAUCCCGGAGCUUAACUUCGGAACUGCCUUUGAUACUGGGUGUCUUGAGUGUGAGAGAGGUAUGUGGAACUCCGAGUGUAGAGGUGAAAUUCGUAGAUAUUCGGAAGAACACCAGUGGCGAAGGCGACAUACUGGCUCAUUACUGACGCUGAGGCUCGAAAGCGUGGGGAGCAAACAGGAUUAGAUACCCCCGUAGUCCCUGAGCGGGCUGGCAAGGCGCAU
rnacentral:rRNA from 1 species